ACGCUCGACACUACGGGGCAGCAGUUGGGAAUAUUGGACAAUGGAGGAAACUCUGAUCCAGUGACGCCGCGUGAAGGAAGAAGGUCUUCGGAUUGUAAACUUAUUUUGUCAGGGAAGAAAAAAUGACUGUACCUGAAGAAAAAGCACCGGCUAACUACGUGCCGGCAGCCGCGGUAAUCUGAGCGGGCUGGCAAGGC
rnacentral:rRNA from 1 species